rnacentral:tRNA from 1 species
GAGAUAUUAGUAAAGUCUUACGUAACUUUGUCAAAGUUAAAUCACAAGUGAAAAUCUUGUAUAUCUCU